NNNNNNNNNNNNNNCUGCGGCUUAAUUUGACUCAACACGGGGAAACUCACCCGGCCCGGACACAGUGAGGAUUGACAGAUUGAGAGUUCUUUCUUGAUUCUGUGGGUGGUGGUGCAUGGCCGUUCUUAGUUGGUGGAGCGAUUUGUCUGGUUAAUUCCGAUAACGAACGAGACUCUGGCAUGUUAAAUAGUCGCGGAAGUGCGUAUGCACUUGCCGAAUUGACUUCUUAGAGGGACUAGUGAUUUUAAUUCACACGAGAUUGAGCAAUAACAGGUCUGUGAUGCCCUUAGAUGUUCGGGGCCGCACGCGCGCUACAAUGAGUCGAUCAACGUGCGUAUAUUUCCAAGGCCGAAAGGUCGAGGUAAUCCGUUGAACCCGACUCGUGCUAGGGAUAGGGACUUGUAAUUGUUUCCCUUGAACGAGGAAUUCCCAGUAAGCGCAAGUCAUCAGCUUGCGUUGAUUACGUCCC
rnacentral:ncRNA from 1 species